GAUCUUGAGAAAAUUGGGCGGGAUAUGCAGGCCUUCUUGGAUCAAAUGAGUGCAACGCCGCAUCGUUUUGCCUCUCAGGAGACUCAAGACCCUAAUAAUCCUCCUGAUCCAUAGAUUGUGAUAGGAACGUUGAUGCCUAUACAACACCAUCAUCAUAUAACCAAACUAGCUUUCAGGAUUGAUUACUACUUGCUAGCUUAGGAUUGGAUUUUCUUUGCUAGAUGGUGUUGUAUUGUGAUUUUAAAUUUCAGAUGUUGUAGUACU